rnacentral:rRNA from 1 species
CAGCAGCCGCGGUAAUACGUAGGGCGCAAACGUUGUUCGGAUUAACUGGGUAUAAAGGGUUCGUAGGCGGGCUGUUAAGUCAGAGGUGAAAGCCACCGGCUCAACCGGUGAAUUGCCUCUGAUACUGGCAGUCUUGAGUCCGUUAGGGGGUGGUGGAAUUCCUGGUGUAGCGGUGAAAUGCGUAAAUAUCAGGAGGAACACCAGUGGCGAAGGCGGCCACCUGGGACGGUACUGACGCUGAGGAACGAAAGCAUGGGUAUCAAACGGGAUUAGAUACCCCGGUAGUCCAUGCCGUAAACGAUGGGCACUAGGUGUCGGAGGAGCUUACCCCUUCGGUGCCGCAGCUAACGCAUUAAGUGCCCCACCUGGGGAGUACGAUCGCAAGGUGAAAACUCAAAGGAAUUGACGGGGGCCCGCACAAGCGGUGGAGCAUGUGGUUUAAUUCGAUGCAACGCGAAGAACCUUACCUGGACUUGACAUGUAGGAGACAGCCGUAGAAAUACGGUUUCCUUCGGGUUCCUACACGGGUGCUGCAUGGCUGUCGUCAGCUCGUGUCGUGAAAUGUUGGGUUAAGUCCCGCAACGAGCGCAACCCUUGUCCUUAGUUGCCAUCAGAUUAUGCUGGGAACUCUAAGGAGACUGCCGGUGACAAACCGGAGGAAGGUGGGGACGACGUCAAGUCAUCAUGGCCCUUACGUCCAGGGCUACACACGUGCUACAAUGGCCGGUACAAAGAGCAGCGAGGCGGCGACGCCAAGCGAAUCUCAAAAAGCCGGUCUCAGUUCGGAUAGUAGUCUGCAACUCGACUACUUGAAGCUGGAAUCGCUAGUAAUCGCGUAUCAGCAUGACGCGGUGAAUACGUUCCCGGGCCUUGUACACACCGCCCGUCAAGUCACCCGAGUUGGCCGCACCCCAAGUCGCUGAGCUAACCUCUUCGGAGGAGGCAGGUGCCCAAGGUGUAGUUGGUAAGGGGGACUAAGUCGUAACAAGGUAACCGUA